rnacentral:rRNA from 1 species
GGGUGAUGGCGUGCCUUUUGUAGAAUGAACCGGCGAGUUACGUUCCCGUGCAAGGUUAAGGUGAAGAGCUGAAGCCGCAGCGAAAGCGAGUCUGAAUAGGGCGAAUGAGUACGUGGACGUAGACCCGAAACCGGGUGAUCUACCCCUGUCCAGGGUGAAGGUGCGGUAACACGCACUGGAGGCCCGAACCCACGCAUGUUGAAAAAUGCGGGGAUGAGGUGGGGGUAGCGGAGAAAUUCCAAUCGAACCCGGAGAUAGCUGGUUCUCCCCGAAAUAGCUUUAGGGCUAGCCUCGGAAAGAAGAAUCGUGGAGGUAGAGCACUGAUUGGGUGCGGGGCCCGCAAGGGUUACCAAGCUCAGUCAAACUCCGAAUGCCAUAGAUUUAGUUCCGGGAGUCAGACAGUGAGUGCUAAGAUCCAUUGUCGAAAGGGAAACAGCCCAGACCAUCAGCUAAGGUCCCCAAGUGUGUGUUAAGUGGGAAAGGAUGUGGAGUUGCACAGACAACCAGGAUGUUGGCUUAGAAGCAGCCACCAUUGAAAGAGUGCGUAAUAGCUCACUGGUCGAGUGACUCUGCGCCGAAAAUGUAACGGGGCUAAACACACCACCGAAGCUAUGGCUUGAUGCUUUGCAUCAGGGGUAGGGGAGCGUUGAAUGCGGGUUGAAGGUGUACCGGAAGGAGCGCUGGACUGCAUUCAAGUGAGAAUGCCGGUAUGAGUAACGAAAAGAUCUGUGAGAAUCAGAUCCGCCGAAAGCCUAAGGGUUCCUGAGGAAGGUUCGUCCGCUCAGGGUAAGUCGGGACCUAAGGCGAGGCCGAUAGGCGUAGUCGAAGGACAACAGGUGGAAAUUCCUGUACCACCGUAAUCCGCUAUGAGCGAUGGGGUGACGCAGUAGGGUAGUGACGCGGACUGAUGGAUGUCCGUCUAAGCAGUGAGGCUGAUGUGUAGGCAAAUCCGCACAUCGU